rnacentral:lncRNA from 1 species
AUUGAACUUAUACAGUAUGAGACAUGCUUAUGUAUGUAAAACAGCUUAUCAAUCAUGAUGCAAGCAGCAGAGACAUUCUACUCAAUUCUACAACACAUUCAUGAUGAUUUCAAGCUAUGGCAAUACACAAGACAAUGCAAUGAACAGAAUAUGAGAUUUUGGGACUCUAGACAUUACUUAAUAUCAAUAAGACAAUACAGCAGCAAAAUAUUUCUAGUGCAAUUCGCCUAGACAUUCUACUAGAAGCUAUAAACUCUAUAUUAAAAUAGAUGAGACUAGGUUUACUCCCUUGUUUAAGAUGGUGAGGAGUGGUCUCUUCAUUUCGCCACUUGAGUCCUCACUUGCUAAGCUUAACAGCUUCUCCUUUCAUCACACAAGCUCACUAACAUUUCCUCUCAAGCUUGAGACCGAGUAUAGGGAAGGUCCAAGCCUGAAGGUGAGCGCUUACUAAGCUUCGUGAACAACCUUGUGGGAACACCUCCAUCUUCUUCAGACUUGAUGCUUACUUCUCCACUUACCCACCAUUGCACUGAGGAGAUACCUCAGCUUACUCUCCAAGUACUUCUUAUUAGAAACUCAUUGAGUCGCUUUCUUCUUCCCUCUACUUCGGCUGCAUCUACACAUGAUCAGCUUGCAAUGGCCUUGAGGAACCAGGUCAUUGAGCUUAGAGGAUCGUCUGGUAGCUCACUUGAAUCCACACCUCAAGCUUGACUCAGUAUAGGUGCAAGCUUGAAGUGAGCCUCAAUGAGACUUCAAACCGGGAGCGCAUCACUACCUACAGCUGCGCUUAACCCAACCGAUCUGCCAUUGCCUUCAGCUCCAAUGCCUUCAGGUCAUCAGUCUCCCCAAGACUUAGGUGAUGACCUUUCCUUGUGUGUCUCCAUGAACCAGGAGCACAUCACUAUCACUAGCUGCGCUAUCUUAACCGGCCAUACACACUAGUCUUUCUCCAUUGCUUUAACAAUGGCAAAGUCUUCCUCUUCUACUUGGAUGGAUGGUGAGCAAAGAACACUUCUUGUGAACCUGAAACACCACUCAAACUCCAGCAAAGAUAAGACACAAUUGCAUUGGGAUCAAUCCUUGACUUCAUCAAGUUUGAUCACCAAUGUCUCAAGCUUUAUAACAUUAGAUAGAAUCAAGACACUGUCAAGUUCUUAUCUAUGCAAGCAACCAUUCUCUAAAUACUAAGCAAGACCUUAUCAGAUUCAAGUCAAAGUAUUAGGCAAUUUUAACCACUCCUUAAUAUGCUACUUAGACUUUUAAUCUAAAUGCAACAAUACAAGGC